UUUGUCAACAUUGCUGGAACAAUCUCUAUAGAAUAUAGUAUAAAAUGAUUCUUUGUAUUAAAAACCACAAACCGCUGUCUAACGAAAUGAAUUAUUUAUUUUUAUAUUUUUGCUUACAUCCAAUGAUACACAAAUUGGGCUAUGAUGAUCGUCUGAAUUUAUUUUCCAGUAAGAACCAUGGGCAAAAUUUAUUCAUCUAGAAUGAUUUGUUCGUGGCAGGGAGGAUCUGGAAAAGCUGUUCUCCAGCAUGCUUGCCGUAUUUACAGGGAUGUUAGGAGGUGAAGAGCUCUCUCAAGCAUACGCCAGCGGAGAUGUUUUCGUCAUGCCUUUAGAAUCAGAGACGCUCGGACACAUAAUGUCAUUUUCAAAAAACAGGUAAAAAGGGAAUAAGUUAUUCAAAGCUUGCGAAUUUAUCACCUAUAGUCGGCCUCUACUCAAGCUUAAUCUUGCGGUCGGUCCAGUCUCAAUAGCAACAUCUUUCCGCCGAAUGAAUACAUAAUUGAGGGCAGUUCAAGCUAUCAGUUUUACCCACGGUAAUUUGCCGUAACCUAUAAAAGAUUUGUAACAAUUUUACAAAUACAAACUUACUACAUAAAAGAUAGAGUUUUAGGUAGAUUACUCUACUUAUAUUUCCCGACUUUAGUUCUAUGUCUUAUGAUAAGGUUUGGACUCAGGUAAUGUUUAAUACAGUUGAAAAUUAAAAAUUAAGUAUUGAAAA